CUCAACAAACCAUAAGGACAUUGGUACUUUAUACUUCAUAUUUGGAGCAUGAGCAGGAAUAGUAGGAACAUCAAUAAGAAUACUUAUUCGUGCUGAACUUGGCCAACCCGGAUCUCUAAUUGGGGAUGACCAGAUUUAUAAUGUUAUUAUUACAGCUCACGCAUUCGUAAUAAUUUUCUUUAUAGUAAUACCUAUUUUAAUUGGUGGAUUUGGUAAUUGACUUGUUCCACUAAUAAUUGGUGCACCAGAUAUAGCAUUUCCACGAAUAAAUAAUAUAAGUUUUUGAUUACUACCACCUUCACUAACCCUUCUUCUUACAUCUUCUAUAGUAGAUAAUGGUGCUGGUACAGGAUGAACAGUUUACCCUCCUCUAGCAGGAGCUAUUGCACACGGGGGUGCAUCUGUAGAUCUAGCUAUUUUUUCACUGCACUUAGCAGGUGUAUCAUCUAUUCUUGGUGCAGUGAAUUUCAUUACAACAGCAAUUAAUAUACGAUCAGAAAGUAUAACUUUAGAUCAAACACCUUUAUUUGUAUGAUCUGUAGCUAUUACAGCAUUACUUCUCCUUCUUUCACUUCCAGUUUUAGCAGGAGCUAUUACUAUAUUAUUAACAGAUCGAAAUUUAAAUACAUCAUUCUUUGACCCUGCAGGAGGGGGUGACCCAAUUCUAUAUCAACAUCUAUUUUGAUUCUUUGGACACCCAGAAGUUUAUAUUUUAAUUCUACCGGGGUUCGGAAUUAUUUCACAUAUUGUAUGUCAAGAAAGAGGAAAAAUUGAAUCAUUUGGAACAUUAGGUAUAAUUUAUGCUAUACUAUCAAUUGGACUAAUAGGAUUUAUUGUAUGAGCACAUCAUAUAUUUACAGUAGGAAUGGAUGUUGACACACGAGCAUAUUUUACAUCAGCAACAAUAAUUAUUGCUGUACCUACAGGAAUUAAGGUAUUUAGAUGAUUAGCUACAUUAUAUGGAACUAAAUUCAAGUUCAAUCCACCAUUAUUAUGAGCUCUAGGAUUUAUUUUCCUAUUUACAAUUGGUGGAUUAACAGGAUUAGUAUUAGCAAAUUCAUCACUUGAUAUUGUAUUACAUGAUACAUAUUAUGUUGUAGCCCACUUUCAUUAUGUAUUAUCUAUAGGAGCAGUAUUUGCAAUUAUAGGAGGUGUCAUUCAAUGAUAUCCACUAUUUACAGGAUUAACUAUAAAUAAUACAUGAUUAAAAAUCCAAUUUACAAUUAUAUUCAUUGGAGUAAAUUUAACAUUCUUUCCUCAACACUUCCUAGGAUUAGCAGGAAUACCUCGACGAUACUCUGACUACCCAGACGCAUAUACAUCAUGAAACGUAGUAUCAAGAAUUGGGUCUACAAUUUCUAUUGUAGGAAUCAUUAUAUUCAUUGUAAUUAUAUGAGAAAGAAUGAUUACAAACCGAGCAAUUAUAUUUAGAGCUAACAUAAGAAGAUCAACAGAAUGACUACAAAAUAACCCUCCUGCAGAACAUAGUUACUCAGAAUUACCAUUAAUCUCUAGAU